rnacentral:lncRNA from 1 species
AAAUAGAGAAUGCAAAAUAUUUGAUAAAUAACUAAGUUUUUAAUUACAUAUAUAUAUGCAUGAUUAUUAAAGUUUAACUGUAAGCAUUGUCCAUUUAAGUUUGAGUUAUUCAUAUACAAGGUUAGCAAUAUAGAUUUUAAUCUGAUUUUGGUUCAUUUUCUUCAGUUUUUUUUCUUUAGAAAAUCUGUUUAUAAAUAAAUUGUAUCCAAAGUAAAAUCUAAUCGAACAUAAAUAAUUGUGUAUGAUUUCGGUUAAGAGUUUAGUUAAAUCUAUCAUUAGUUUCAAAAGAUAUUUAAAAAUCUACUAAAACAUAUAAAAAUAUAAAAAUUACUUAUUCCAAUCGUAAC